UUGCUGCAAACAGUAUGAAAGGUGGUGGGCUACCUUCACAGGGUCUUAUCCAUGCCCAGUUUGCUGCUGCACAGACCUCUGGAAAGCCACAUCUUGUACCUGCUGGGCUCUCUUAUGUUCAUGCAGUUCCAACUGCUGUUCAGGUAAAGCCAGCAGAGCAUAAACAACCUGCUGCGGAGUAAAAUAAUUUCUUCAGAGCACUUCUCAUGGCAACCCCCAGACAGGAGGCGAUGAAGUGAACAACCAAAAACUGAAUUGAGAUUUUGGU
rnacentral:lncRNA from 1 species